rnacentral:lncRNA from 1 species
UACUUUCUUCGGUUCCAUCGCCUUUGCGCCGACAUAACCACUGCCGUUGAGUUAUACCAACUGUACUGUUCCUUGCCACUUCCCUUUUUGGGGGUUUUUCUUUUGCUUUAGCUUUAUAUUAUUAGCUUCUGUAUCUACAUCUGAAUUCUGCUUCAGCUAUCCAAGAUGCGCAUAACGGGAGAUAGCCGAAAGCUUCAGUGUCGACGAUCUCACCUAUCCUUAAACCCUCAACCUUAUUUGAUAGUACUUCAUGUGCUUGCCUCCUAUGUUUUACAGCAGAGAGUUUGGAUAGGGAUGUUUUUGUAUCUUGCAUGUUUCGUAGAAUGCGCUUGAAUUUCUCCAGUAAAUUUAGAAUAAUUUUUUGUGAACCCUAAGGAUAGACAGACCUUAUUAGCACUCUCAAAGUGAGCUAUCCUAACCCACUGUUGAUAAAUUUAGAAUAAUUUUUUGUGAGCCCUAAGGAUGGACGGACCUUAUUAUCACUCUCAAAGUGAGGUUUCCUAACCCAUUGUUGAGAUAUUGAGGAGGAUUCAGGUAAGGUACCAUAUCUUGAAAUACUCAAGUUCUAUUACUUUUUGUAGAUUGACUUGGGUCAAUUUUUUAUAAGACAUAAAUGGUGCUUCUACUUUCAGAUAGAUAACACGUUGCACAAAUUGCGUAAUUAAUAUGCUUGUUAGCUAUCACUGAUUCUAUAUGGGUCUCAAUUAUUUGAGGCUUUGAGCUAUGAUAAAUAGUUGUUUCAAGUAAAAUUAGAGUAGAUUUCUAGACUUUCCAUAACUUGAAAUGAGGAUAAAAAGAAAAACGAUGAGGAAGAUAUUUAUACUCCACUCAACCCUAGUUAAUCUUCUUAUUAAGGAGAUCAAUUCAAACUUUUAGGUUGAAGUAUUGGAUAUUGUUUUGGAUAGAGUAACAACUCUUAGGCAAUUAGAUAAAUAAUAUUACUUAUACCUUUGCGGUGACACUUGUUUGAGAAGGCAUAACAAAAUACCUCGCAAAGGUAUUCUUUAAUCAAGUGCAACAAUCCGGUGAAUAGGUAGUGCCUCUAAAUUGCAGAUGAAAGUAAGUAUAAAUAGCCAAAUUGGAGCCUUGGGUGCUUAAACCGUAAACUGAAAAAUUUGGAUUUACUGAUUAUGGAUAUGUAACUCCUUUUUUGGCUACCUUUUCUCGCUACUUGCUGCAUGCAAUGCACCAAAGCUGUAAACUUUUUCUUUUAUAUUUAGUAAUUGGUUAUUCGGAGUUGGAAUCUUGAGCUGUUGAUUUUAGUAUACUCAUCAUUGCCAAUUGCCUAUUGGAUGAUCUUGAAUAUCAUAGGUGUAUAUAAGUAGUAUCGUUAAACUGAAAUGCUGAUCAUUGCUCUGUAUUAGGAAAUUUAUACCAUAUGUUUGAAUUAGUACCAAUAUGCUAUUAUAAGUUAUAAUUUUAUGAUUUAUGUUCUUUUUAUUAGGAAGUUGAUCAGAGAGAUAUUUGGUUUAGAUGGAAUAGAUGGUUUUUUUUGACUCAGUAAAUGAGCUAAUGGUGCCAUGGCUUUUGUUCAAGUGCUCAGGUGAUGUUUCUUGGAGACAAAUGAAUCUUACAUAUGAUAUCUUGGCAUCCUAGAAAUUUCUGGAGAUCUAUGCUUUAAGAUAUCCCAACAUCCUUGAAAUUGUUAGAUAUCAAUACUUACGUUAAUCCAAAUGUAUCUCAUUUUUGCCAACUCGAUCUUCUUUUCAAUUUUGUUCAACACUUUAAUGUUCCUUGUGAUUUUCUUCUCAUCUCAACAUUGGUUACUUUCUAGCGAGUGUUCAUCAUGGUUUUGUUUUCCUCUUAUAUGAUGACCUAUCAUUACUUUGCUUCCAUCUGGCAAUCUUUGGUGUGCUUAGGGAUUGGUUUACCUGAAAUAUGGAGCAGACAACGGGGAUAAAAGAGUUCUUGGAUGAUGUAAAAGCCCGAGGAGGCCAAGUCGGUUGGAGAUCGACAUUGCAUAUCCAAG